rnacentral:rRNA from 1 species
AGAGUUUGAUCAUGGCUCAGAACGAACGCUGGCGGCAGGCUUAACACAUGCAAGUCGAACGGGCAUAGCAAUAUGUCAGUGGCAGACGGGUGAGUAACACGUGGGAACGUCCCCCUUGGUCCGGAAUAACUCAGGGAAACUUGAGCUAAUACCGGAUAAGUCCGAGAGGAGAAAGAUUUAUCGCCGAGGGAUCGGCCCGCGUCUGAUUAGCUAGUUGGUGAGGUAAUGGCUCACCAAGGCGACGAUCAGUAGCUGGUCUGAGAGGAUGAUCAGCCACACUGGGACUGAGACACGGCCCAGACUCCUACGGGAGGCAGCAGUGGGGAAUAUUGGACAAUGGGCGAAAGCCUGAUCCAGCCAUGCCGCGUGAGUGAUGAAGGCCUUAGGGUUGUAAAGCUCUUUUGGCGGGGACGAUAAUGACGGUACCCGCAGAAUAGCC